rnacentral:rRNA from 1 species
AUUGAACGCUGGCGGCAUGCUUUACACAUGCAAGUCGAACGGCAGCGCGGGCUUCGGCCUGGCGGCGAGUGGCGAACGGGUGAGUAAUGCAUCGGAACGUGCCCAGUAGUGGGGGAUAGCCCGGCGAAAGCCGGAUUAAUACCGCAUACGACCUGAGGGUGAAAGCGGGGGACCGAAAGGCCUCGCGCUAUUGGAGCGGCCGAUGUCGGAUUAGCUAGUUGGUGGGGUAAAGGCUUACCAAGGCGACGAUCCGUAGCUGGUCUGAGAGGACGACCAGCCACACUGGGACUGAGACACGGCCCAGACGCCUACGGGAGGCAGCAGUGGGGAAUUUUGGACAAUGGGGGCAACCCUGAUCCAGCCAUGCCGCGUGCGGGAAGAAGGCCUUCGGGUUGUAAACCGCUUUUGUUCGGGAAGAAAUCCUCUGGGCUAAUACCCCGGGGGAUGACGGUACCGGAAGAAUAAGCACCGGCUAACUACGUG